UCCCUGAUAGCUUUGUUGGUAAAGAAUCUGCCUACAAUGCAGGAGACCCUGGUUUGAUCCCUGGGUUGGGAA
rnacentral:tRNA from 1 species